rnacentral:rRNA from 1 species
GAUGAACGCUGGCGGCGUGCCUAAUACACGCAAGUCGAGCGAACAGACGAGGAGCUUGCUCCUCUGAUGUUAGCGGCGGACGGGUGAGUAACACGUGGAUAACCUACCUAUAAGACUGGGAUAACUUCGGGAAACCGGAGCUAAUAGCGGAUAACAUGUUGAAUUGAAUGGUUCAACAGUGAAAGACGGUCUUGCUGUCACUUAUAGAUGGAUCCGCGCCGCAUUAGCUAGUUGGUAAGGUAACGGCUUACCAAGGCAACGAUGCGUAGCCGACCUGAGAGGGUGAUCGGCCACACUGGAACUGAGACACGGUCCAGACUCCUACGGGAGGCAGCAGUAGGGAAUCUUCCGCAAUGGGCGAAAGCCUGACGGAGCAACGCCGCGUGAGUGAAGAAGGUCUUCGGAUCGUAAAACUCUGUUAUUAGGGAAGAACAAAUGUGUAAGUAACUAUGCACGUCUUGACGGUACCUAAUCAGAAAGCCACGGCUAACUACGUG